UACGAAGGGGGCUAGCGUUGCUCGGAAUCACUGGGCGUAAAGCGCACGUAGGCGGAUUGCUAAGUCAGGGGUGAAAUCCUGGAGCUCAACUCCAGAACUGCCUUUGAUACUGGCGACCUUGAGUCCGGGAGAGGUGAGUGGAACUGCGAGUGUAGAGGUGAAAUUCGUAGAUAUUCGCAAGAACACCAGUGGCGAAGGCGGCUCACUGGCCCGGUACUGACGCUGAGACGCGAAAGCGUGGGGAGCAAACAGG
rnacentral:rRNA from 1 species